GACAGAGGCGCCAAGCGUUAGGCGGAAUCAUUGGGCGUAAAGCGCGUGUAGGCGGCCAGGUAGGUCCGCUGUGAAAACCCGAGGCUCAACCUCGGGACGUCGGCGGAAACCAUCUGGCUAGAGUCCGGAAGAGGAGAGUGGAAUUCCCGGUGUAGCGGUGAAAUGCGCAGAUAUCGGGAAGAACACCCGUGGCGAAGGCGGCUCUCUGGGACGGUACUGACGCUGAGACGCGAAAGCGUGGGGAGCGAACAGG
rnacentral:rRNA from 1 species